GCGCCGCCGUGAAUGACGUCAAAACAGAAGUAAUGCAGUUGGUAGAAAUGCUAAAACAGUACUACUUGGUAUGCUUGAGGACUCAUUUGUGCAUGAAGGACUGAAGUACCGGAUUUUGAGAGGCUGGAGUUGAUCCGUGCUCUUAACAAGGUUUCAGCCCUAUGGUUUCAGACCACAGACUGGGCUGGGUCACUGAGAACUGUGGAACUCCUGUGUUUCUGCCUCCUGAUGUUGCCACAUCUACGUUUGAGAGAGCACACUUGCAUGCUUUGUUCCACAGGGAGAUAUCAGCCUGACAAUCUGAGUCACCAGAGUUACAAAUCCAGCUCACCCUGCUCUCACCAGGACUCGACCACCUUCGCCAGCAGGUCCAGGGCACGCAUAACGCCCUCCCUUGACAGCAGAUGACCACCAAAGGACCAGUCCUGUGCCUCAGCAGAGUUUUACUCUGUCUAGAUUUCAGAGGUGGGUGAUGUCACUUCUGUGACUCGCUCUGCGUACUGAGCCCUGUUACACAUUGGAAAAGAUAAACACUUUUAGAGAGACUGAUAAUUUAAAGGCAUUUUAUGAACUCAAAAAUAAGUUAUGUGAUAUACGGGCCUUGAGAUAAGUAUGGCUAUAUUGAGAAUAAAGAUUUUUAGAAUUCAUGGAAAUUUUGAUAGGUAUUUUUAAAGAGGGCUAUUUUCAUAUUUUAAACUCCGAAUACUGUACACACUCAUCCCAGUGUUUUGUUUUUUGCUGUCAAAGCUUUUAACAAAGUUGUUACAGUGAGGUGCAGCAGAGCAGCAGUCAGCAAUAUCUGGAUGAACGCCAGUGACAUCGACACAGAAACGUGGCAAAAACAUGAACACAAUUCAGCAUUUUUCAUCAAAACGCAUAUCUGGAAUUUGCAUGACUCAUACUUGCAUUGGGCUAAAUUUUGCAUUGCAAUGCCAAAUUGUUACAUAACUAGCUUUUGAAGAAGAUAGUAUGAACUGUUGGCCUUCAAUGGGUAAUUGAGUAGGAAGCAUAGCUAAUACCUCAGUAAGUAUCUCUAACGAGGUCACUGCUCCUCUUAUGAUUCAUUUGAGAGAGAGGGCUGACCCAGAUAAUUUAAAUGAAGGAAUUAAUUCCUUCACUUCACUGCGACCUAAAGCUUCUACUCCAGACAGAAAUCAACUUCUACAAGUUUGCUCACAAAUGCAAUGCAAAAGUAAAAAAAACUUUGGCAAGUGUCAUAGAUAAUGAAAUAUAAAGAAAUAAUUGCAAAAUUUUUUCAGGCCGUGGUACAAUCAAAAACAAAAUGUUUGCACUCAGAAUCGAGCUCUUCAUCAGGAACUGAGCUUACUCUCGGCUUUCACUCAGGUCCUUCAUAAAAUUUAGAGGUGAGCUGUCAUCCUUGCAACGCUCUCUGGCUUUUGUCACUGUUUCUGUAGCAGUUUGUUUCAAUUUUACAGGGUCGGGCUGCUGACCCGACGACCAAACCUCCUCCUUUCUCAGCGCGGGUUUGGGACCAGCCAUGGCGGAGAUAGUCACAGGAGAGCAGGUGUUGAAAUAGUUGGAAAAGGCAACAAAAACAUGAUAUUGUAGAUGGAAAUACACAUAAAACCGUAUCUGGCAGAUAUUCUAAGUGACACCGAUAAAGAUGAUUGCACACACUUCGGUUCCCUUUACAUGUCAGUGUGAGAUAUAGUCCAGUCUCACAUGUUCUCAGCUGCUCUGAGGGACAACACAAGCAAGCAGGUCACUGAGUGAAUGUGGACCUACUCUGUGAAGAGGUUUGGUAAGGUAAGAAGAUAAAGGUUUGUCAAUGUGAAUUGAAAAUGAAAGCAUGGCCAGGGAUCAUUCAGCUUAUUUUCCCUAACUCCUCAAUUCAGUCCAUAUUCCACACUUUUUGAAGGACUUUUUGGCUUGCCUUAAAACGGGACUCUGAAAAACAGACACUGAAAUUGCAACUCGGUCCCUCCAGAGGUAAAAUGGGUUUGUUUCUUUGCAUCACAACCACACUGUUAUAAAACUAAUUAUCAUAUGAAAACUUCAGGACCACAGGCCAAAGUCUUCUGUAUCAAGGUGAACUGAGCAUCAGCAUUACUUUUAACUGCAAAAAAUUCAAAAGGUUAUUAGAAGAAAAAUGGAAAAAUGUUUUUUUGCAACAGAUUGACAUUUUAUUGAACAAAAAUGACAUAUAGUACAGCAGGUAAUUUAUUACACUGAUUAAUACUGUAGUUGUUGAAAGGAUCGAUCAGCUGGGGGUUCACUGUUAAAUCACAGGACAUGAGCAGAGUAGCGCUGUGCAGCCAGGUUGACCUCAACUGCAGCAGGUGGUGUUCUGAAGGGACAAGACACUCCUGUCCAGACCAUCACACUUUGAUCUCCCCAUUGAUUGGUCUGGUGUAUACAUCAGCUAGAGCAUCAUACUGCGCUUCUGUGGUACAAUCACUGAUGUCUAUUUAGGUCACUUACAUAAACCUUGAUUUAUCCCUAGAGAGGAUCUGGUAUCACUGCAGGCAAUUUUAGUUUUAUUGGAACGCCUGAAGUUUUUUUUCCAAUACACUGAAGAAACAGAGGCUAUGGGGUAUCGCACGUCCUUUUUGUAAGAAUUUUCUGUUCUUUCCAUCUUAGUCUUUCUUGAUUUUCAGUGGAUUUGAUAUUACAAAGGUUACAUUUCCUCAUCACCUCUGCCCAUUUGAUUCUCUCAUGUAAGAAGCGAUUUAGUGCUUAUGCCAUGCUACUUGGGCACAGGCCCAUAAACUAUGAAGAUUUCCCACCACAGAUUCACAACUCUUUCCCUAAAGCUACAACAAAAUAUACAGUAUCUUCAAAAGUGGUUUAACAGGUCUCAUUCCUCUCUAUUAUUAACUCUUUCUUCACAAAUUUCUUAGUUAACCCCUUCAUCCUUCAUCACAAGAGGGUCACAGCAACAUUUAUGCUCAUAUCCCAUGUCCUAGUGAACAUUUAUGCUGAUUUUAGGUGAUAUUAUAAGAGCAGUAAGACUGUAAGCUCUUAAAGGAGUGUAGGUUUUGAGAGAGAGUGGCCUGUUCAAUUACAGACAACAGAAAACUGAAAUUGAUGGUGAUAGUGUCAUUAAUACACCACUGUGACUUCCCCCAGUAAAUCUUUUAAUUGAGCACAGAAUCUCAUCCAUUCAUCUAUGAUUGACAGCUUUAGUAUUGUCAGGUAAGCCUUUAAUUUUCGCAUCAGAUCUCACUUUCCAAGACUAUAUGAUUGCAUUGAAUUUUGCCUUAUUGAUAUUUAUAUUGUGAAUAUUAACAAAUCCGGUGUUUUUCUCAUUGUUGAUUAUUAUUGUCGUUCACCACAACAUGAAAUCCAUUGUCCUCAAAAUAAUUCCUGCUUUGCAUGUAGUGUAUCAGCCAACGUGACUCUGCAGCUGAAAGUUUCUUUGCGCUUAUUUCUGGAAUAAAGAGCAAGGUCUGUCAGAGUGGAAAUAGUGAAACAGAAGCACAAGGAAAAGAAGGGAACUAGAAGUCUCACUUGUUGGUUGAUUUACGAUGACCAGAUCCAGACGGAAAUUCAUCAGCAGCUCCCACAGAGAGAGCCUUUUCCUUCUGCAGAGGUCUAGUCCGUCACAUUUCAAACAACACACCCGAAUGAGGGCAGUUCUGAAAGUCAGAAAUUGGUACAGGGUUGAUACCAAUUACAAAUCCCAUUAGAACCUUUAAGAGCUCAAAGAAAAAUGUAUAAAUAUGCACCUGUCACGAGCUGUAUUCCUAUGAGCAACUCUCGCUGCCAACACCCACGCAGUUAUUAAUCAAUUGUCAUUCCUCACGCUCUUCCCUAUUUAUACCCUCUCACUCCACUCAGUCCCCGCUCAGUAUUGAGAAGGACUCUUCGGCUUUCUCUGGUGCGCACUACAACUCUCGACCUGAUUUUUGACUACCCGACCUUGUUUCCUCCUGCUUCAAAUCCGUCUCGCUUCUCAUUUUGGAUUUGGAUUCACUUGACCUGACUCUUUCGGCUACCCGACCUAGUUCUUUUGACUCGACUACUACUUUUUUUACUUUGGCCUUUGGGAUUUGGAUGCCAAUCGGUAGCAAUAACCUUCUGUCCCAGCGCCAAAUAGGGUCCAACCUGGUGCCCCUAACGCCUUCUCUGACAGCACCAAAUGGAAGACUGAAAUCAACUAGCCUGUGAUUAAGAGCUCGACUGGAGCAAGAACCAGAAGACACAAAGGAAUAGAUCUGGAUCCACUACUGCAAUAUAUUCUGUACCCAAUCCUGUGACCUCCUGCUUCAGCAAAAAUCUUUUCUUCAGUGUUUUGGAUUGACUGCUGUACUGGUCUUGCAGCUUAAAUAGAGAAGAAGAGAAAAAAAGAAUAAACAACAGUUGGUUAUUUUUACAAAAAACUCUUAAGGGGGAACUGCAACUCUAGUUUUAUAUUUUGGGGUUAAAAAGAAUCAGCAUUGAUGAGUUCAUUUCGAACCACAAUAAAGGUAAACUGUACACAGUAACUUGUAAAACCUCAUUUUCACAUCACAAAACAGAAAAAAAU